AUUCCCUUAGUUCAAUUGGUAGAACAAAGGUUUUCAAUAUUUUAUGAUGUAGUGGUUCAAGUCCACUAGGGUCUC
rnacentral:tRNA from 1 species